CAAUAGCGUAUACUAAUGUUGUUGCAGUUAAAAGCUCGUAGUCGGAUUUCAGUAGUAGUCGGCUGUUCUUGUUUGAUACGGCUUCCUAUUACUUCUUUGACAGAAACAUUCAUGUUAUUGAUUUAGCGUGUUUUGGGACUGUCUCUUUUACUUUGAGAAAAUUAGAGUGUUCAAAGCAGGUUCUCGCCUGAAUAUUACUCUUGGAAUAAUGAUAUAGGACUCAGGUUCAUAUUUGUUGGUGAUCUGGACCUGAGUAAUGAUUGAUAGGGACGGUUGGGGUCAUUCGUACUGCAAAGCGAGAGGUGAAAUUCUUGGACCUUUGUAUGACGAACAACUGCGAAAGCAUUUGGCUAGGACGUUCCCGUUGAUCAAGAACGAAAGUUGGGGGAUCGAAGACGAUUAGAUACCAU
rnacentral:rRNA from 1 species